rnacentral:misc_RNA from 1 species
GAUGAAGAACGUAGCGAAAUGCGAUAAGUAAUGUGAAUUGCAGAAUUCAGUGAAUCAUCGAAUCUUUGAACGCUCAUUGCGCCCUCUGGUAUUCCGGGGGGCAUGCCUGUUCGAGCGUCAUUAUAACCACUCAAGCUUUCGCUUGGUAUUGGGGCUCGCGGUUCCGCGGCCCCUAAAAUCAGUGGCGGUGCCUGUCGGCUCUACGCGUAGUAAUACUCCUCGCGAUUGAGUCCGGUAGGUCUACUUGCCAGCAACCCCCAAUUUUUACAGGUUGACCUCGGAUCAGGUAGGGAUACCCGCUGAACUUAAGCAUAUCAAUAACGGAGGA